UCCCUAGUGGUCCAGUGGUUAAGACUCUGCUGUUAAUGCAAGGAGCCCGGGUUCCAUCCCUGGUUAGGGAA
rnacentral:tRNA from 1 species